CCUACGGGCGGCAGCAGUGAGGAAUAUUGGUCAAUGGGCUUACGCCUGAACCAGCCAAGUCGCGUGAGGGAAGACUGCCCUAUGGGUUGUAAACCUCUUUUGUCAGGGAGCAACGCCGGCUACGUGUAGCCGGACUGAGAGUACCUGAAGAAAAAGCAUCGGCUACCUCCGUGCCAGCAGCCGCGGUAAUACGGAGGAUGCGAGCGUUAUCCGGAUUUAUUGGGUUUAAAGGGUGCGUAGGCGGAAUGCCAAGUCAGCGGUAAAAUCGCGGGGCUCAACCUCGCUCCGCCGUUGAAACUGGCGUGCUUGAGUGGGCGAGAAGUAGGCGGAAGGCGUGGUGUAGCGGUGAAAUGCAUAGAUAUCACGCAGAACUCCGAUUGCGAAGGCAGCAUACCGGCGCCCAACUGACGCUGAAGCACGAAAGCGUGGGUAUCGAACAGGAUUAGAUACCCCUGUAGUC
rnacentral:rRNA from 1 species